UACGUAGGUGGCAAGCGUUGUCCGGAUUUAUUGGGUUUAAAGGGUGCGUAGGUGGUCUAUUAAGUCAGUGCUGAAAUAUCCCGGCUUAACCGGGAGGGUGGCAUUGAUACUGAUGGACUUGAGUAAAGUUGAGGUGGGCGGAAUUGACGGUGUAGCGGUGAAAUGCGCAGAUAUCGGGAGGAACACCCGUAGCGAAGGCGGCACGCUGGGCCGGUACUGACGCUGAGGAGCGAAAGCGUGGGGAGCAAACAGG
rnacentral:rRNA from 1 species